CUCAGAAUUAAUAAUUAGCUCACAAUCUCGGGGCUACAAAUACAUGUUUUCAGGGACAUCAGCAAAACCCUCUUAAUCAAACGAACACCCCAAAACCCUGCUUUAUUCUUCCGUUUUUGCACAAGGCAGCUGGAAUCCAGGUUCAAAUAAUUAUCUGGCCAUUCUGUCUUCGCAAGGGUCCUUUUCCCUUUUGGGAGAAGGGAGGAAAGGGUGGAAGCAGCUUCCACUCACUCCAGCUCGGGCUUGGAUCAGCUCCCUGGGCGUCGCGAAGCCCGCCCCGGUGCCACCCACGCGGCCAUUUCCGCCGCAGAGGCCUAGACUGCGCCGCCGGCUCACGUAGAGUCCAGCGGACCAUACGGCUAGCUCUGGCGGCGCCAGCUCUGCUCUCCUCCGGUCACCAGGGGGCGCCAGAAACAAUGGCGUAUCCCGAAAGGGACGGCGGCUACGUGACUAGGGGGUCACGCGCAGGGUCGUGGGGGACCGCCUGGGAUUCCCGGACGGCUGCGAGGAGGGAGCGGCGAAGUGCCGAGCUGGCUCCGGCUGCUUUCCUCCCUCCACCGCCUGCUCGUUUCGACGCGCGCGGGCGGGACAGUGAGGCUGCAGCGGCGAAAGCGACUAAAGUCUGGGAGCAGCUGCGUGAGCUUUCCGGUUACUGGGAGGCCCCGGGAACAGACACCUCACCCUGACAUUGUGGCAGGGUGGGAAAACAUGUAAGAAUGGAGGCUCCCCCCUCCCUUGCAGGUGCCGCUCAAGAACCACUCUCUCCAAGAUGUUUUCCUGGAUUUCCUCAGCCUAAAAUAAUCCCUCUUUUUCCUGGGAGUGUUGGGCAGUGCUCAGAAGAGGUUUUUGGGGUCAGAGAUGUAAGGACUUCUUUGACUGGCUUCUCCCAACAGAAACAGAUUCCAGCUGCGGAGCAAGGGCCAUGCCAUCUGGAACAGAUGACCUCCAAGGACACCAUAGCAAAGAAAAGGAGAACUGGAAGCCCAUGUGCCUUAAUCCCCUCAUCCCAGAGGGAACUCCAGGAGCAUGUGAGGAAUAACUGCCCAGAGAAACCUGUUCAAAUCCCAGGGUCUGAGGCUUUUAUGUGUAGAGGAACAGCUCUGUCAUGGCAACCUGGCAACACAGACCACACAGACAAAGACUUGACCUGCAGUUUAUCUGAAUCUUGGCAGAACUUGUGA
ensembl:lncRNA